GGGCGCUUAGCUCAGUUGGUAGAGCGCUUCGUUUACACCGAAGAUGUCGGCGGUUCGAGCCCGUCAGCGCCCACCA
rnacentral:tRNA from 1 species